GAUGAACGCUAGCGACAGGCCUAACACAUGCAAGGUCGAGGGGCAGCAUAAAAGGUAGCAAUACUUUGGUGGCGACCGGCGCACGGGUGAGUAACACGUAUGCAACCUACCUGUAAGAGGGGAAUAACCCGGAGAAAUUCGGACUAAUACCGCAUAAUACUGAUUAUCUGCAUGGAUUGAUCAGUUAAACAUUUAUGGCUUACAGAUGGGCAUGCGUAUGAUUAGAUAGUUGGUAGGGUAACGGCCUACCAAGUCAAUGAUCAUUAGGGGUUCUGAGAGGAAGGUCCCCCACACUGGUACUGAGACACGGACCAGACUCCUACGGGAGGCAGCAGUGAGGAAUAUUGGUCAAUGGGCGAGAGCCUGAACCAGCCAAGUCGCGUGAAGGAAGAAGGUUCUAUGGAUUGUAAACUUCUUUUGUAAGGGAAUAAAAAGAGUUACGUGUAACUUAUUGUAUGUACUUUACGAAUAAGGAUCGGCUAACUCCGUG
rnacentral:rRNA from 1 species